UAUAUAGAGAGUGAUUUCCCAUAUGUCAAGAUGAUAUCUGCAGAAAGCAUGAUUGGUCUCGGUGAAGCAACUAAAUGUGCACAAAUUGUCAAGGCAUGCAGUAGUGAUGAAGAUGGUUUGCUUGGUUUUGACGUACAUAGUGAUG